CUGGAAACACAUGCCAUAUUCAAUGGCAACAUCAUUUUUGCAAGUGAAGCUUCAUGUUUUAGUUUGAAAUGGUUAUCAGGCCACCUGAAUUAGUAGCUACCAGAUGAGAUAUGUUGGUAUUUGCCCUUUUUCAUCAGGUCCAAGCCACUGGUCAAAGCUAAAUAAAAUCAGCUUCUCCUAUACAUUACUGGUCUAGCGAUUUGCACGUGUCUACUUCUGGGUCACAUGCAAGUCAUCAUUUUGCAAACUUACCUGAUUCUCCACGUGGCUUACCUGUACCUGCUGUCUUUCCCUGGCCGCAGCACUCUGAUUACGGGGAUCGUCCCUUCUUCAGCCCUCCAGGCCUGCAGCUCUGAGGACGGAACCAGAAACACUCCAUAACCGUAAGAUA